rnacentral:rRNA from 1 species
ACGGCUCAGUAACACGUAGCUAACCUACCCUCGGGACGCGGAUACCCCCGGGAAACUGGGGCUAAUCCACGAUAGGUGUGGAGGCCUGGAAUGGUUCCACGCCCAAAGGCACGGCGAUCAUGUUUGUCGUGUGCCCGAGGAUGGGGCUGCGGCUGAUCAGGCAGUUGGCGAGGUAACGGCUCACCAAACCUUUGACCAGUACGGGCCAUGAAAGUGGUAGCCCGGAGAUGGGCACUGAGACAGGGGCCCAGGCCCUACGGGGCGCAGCAGGCGCGAAAACUCCACAAUGUACGGAAGUACGAUGGGGUUGUCUCGAGUGCAGUCCGAUAAGGGCUGCUUUUCCAUAGAGUAAUAUCCUGUGGGAAUAAGAGGGGGGCAAGACUGGUGUCAGCCGCCGCGGUAACACCAGCCCCUCGAGUGGUGGGGACUAUUAUUUGGCCUAAAGCGUCCGUAGCUGGCUGUAUCCGUCCCCCGUUAAAUCCAGCGUCCUAAGCGUUGGACUGCGGGUGAUACCAUACAGCUAGAGGGUGGGAUAGGUGAGCGGUAUUUCUGGGGUAGGGGCGAAAUCCUUUGAUCCCAGGAGGACCACCAGUGGCGAAGGCUGCUCACUAGAACACGCCUGACGGUCAGGGACGAAAGCUGGGGCAGCGAACCGGAUUAGAUACCCGGGUAGUCCCAGCUGUAAACGAUGCUAGCUAGGUGUUGGGUCGGCCACGUGCCGCCCCAGUGCCGCAGGGAAGCCGUUAAGCUAGCCGCCUGGGGAGUACGGCCGCAAGGCUGAGACUUAAAGGAAUUGGCGGGGGAGAG